GAUGAACGCUAGCUACAGGCUUAACACAUGCAAGUCGCGGGACCGGCGCACGGGUGAGUCACGCGUAUCCAACCUGCCCUUCACCACGGGAUAACCCGGCCGAAGUCGGACUAAUACCGUAUGGUGAGGGGUGGGGAUGCGUCGGAUUAGUUUGACGGCGGUGUAACGGCCCACCGUGGCUACGAUCGGUAGGGGUGAGGAGAGGAAGGUCCCCCACACUGGAACUGAGACACGGUCCAGAUGCCUACGGGAGGCAGCAGUGAGGAAUAUUGGUCAAUGGGCGUAAGCCUGAACCAGCCAAGUAGCGUGCAGGACGACGGCCUAUGGGUUGUAAACUGCUUUUAUGCGGGGAUAGGUACCGCAUGAAUAAGGACCGGCUAAUUCCGUGCCAGCCGCCGCGGUAAUUC
rnacentral:rRNA from 1 species